AUUGAACGCUGGCGGCAGGCCUAACACAUGCAAGUCGAACGAGUGGCGGACGUGUGAGUAAUGUCUGGGAAACUGCCUGAUGGAUGGGGAUAACUACUGGAACCGGUAGCUAAUACCGCAUACCAUUCGAUUAUCGCAGAUGGGAUUGGCUAGUUGGUAGGGUAACGGCUCACAAAGGCGACGAUCCCUAGCUGAUCUGAGAGGAUGACCAGCCACACUGGAACUGAGACACGGUCCAGACUCCUACGGGAGGCAGCAGUGGGGAAUAUUGCACAAUGGGCGAAAGCCUGAUGCAGCCAUGCCGCGUGAAUGAAGAAGGUCUUCGGGUUGUAAAGUACUUUCAGCGGGGAAGCGUUACCCGCUCAAAAAGCACCGGCUAACUACGUGCCAGCAGCCGCGGUAAUUC
rnacentral:rRNA from 1 species